rnacentral:rRNA from 1 species
GGGGAAUUUUCCGCAAUGGGCGCAAGCCUGACGGAGCAAUACCGCGUGAGGGAGGACGGCUUUUGGGUUGUAAACCUCUUUUAUCAGGGAAGAAUCGAUGACGGUACCUGAUGAAUCAGCAUCGGCUAACUCCGYGCCAGCAGCCGCGGUAAUACGGAGGAUGCAAGCGUUAUCCGGAAUUAUUGGGCGUAAAGCGUCCGUAGGUGGCGAAUCAAGUCUGUCGUUAAAGCGUGCGGCUCAACCGCAUAUGGGCGAUGGAAACUGAUUUGCUAGAGUGCGAUAGGGGUCACAGGAAUUCCCAGUGUAGCGGUGAAAUGCGUAGAUAUUGGGAAGAACACCAGCGGCGAAAGCGUGUGACUGGGUCUGCACUGACACUGAGGGACGAAAGCUAGGGGAGCGAAAGGGAUUAGAUACCCCUGUAGUCCUAGCCGUAAACGAUGACAACUAGGUGUGGUUCGUAUCGACCCGAGCCGUGCCGUAGCCAACGCGUUAAGUUGUCCGCCUGGGGAGUACGCACGCAAGUGUGAAACUCAAAGGAAUUGACGGGGGCCCGCACAAGCGGUGGAGUAUGUGGUUUAAUUCGAUGCAACGCGAAGAACCUUACCAAGGCUUGACAUCCUGCGAAUCUACUUGAAAGGGUGGAGUGCCUUCGGGAGCGCAGAGACAGGUGGUGCAUGGCUGUCGUCAGCUCGUGUCGUGAGAUGUUGGGUUAAGUCCCGCAACGAGCGCAACCCACGUUUUUAGUUGCCAGCAUUUAGUUGGGCACUCUAGAGAGACUGCCGGUGACAAACCGGAGGAAGGUGUGGAUGACGUCAAGUCAGCAUGCCCCUUACGCCUUGGGCUACACACGUACUACAAUGCGUUGGACAAAGAGCUGCAAGCUAGCGAUAGCAAGCCAAUCUCAUAAACCAACGCUCAGUUCAGAUUGCAGGCUGCAACUCGCCUGCAUGAAGGCGGAAUCGCUAGUAAUCGCAGGUCAGCAUACUGCGGUGAAUACGUUCCCGGGCCUUGUACACACCGCCCGUCACACCAUGGGAGUUGGUCACGCCCGAAGUCGUUACUCUAACCGUUCGCGGAGGAGGAUGCCGAAGGUGGGGCUGAUGACUGGGGUGAAGUCGUAACAAGGUAGCCGUACCGGAAGGUGUGGCUGGAUCACCUCCU